rnacentral:rRNA from 1 species
UAAUACGUACGAGGCGAGCGUUAUCCGGAAUUAUUGGGCGUAAAGCGCGCGCAGGCGGAUAUUUAAGUCGGUCGUGAAAUCUCCCGGCCCAACUGGGAGGGGUCGUCCGAGACUGGGUGUCUUGAGGACAGCAGAGGUUGGUGGAAUUCCUGGUGUAGUGGUGAAAUGCGUAGAGAUCAGGAGGAACACCGGUGGCGAAGGCGGCCAACUGGGCUGUCACUGACGCUGAGGCGCGAAAGCUCGGGGAGCGAACGGGAUUAGAUACCCCGGUAGUCCGAGCCGUAAACGAUGGGUACUAGGUGUUCGUGGUAUCGACCCCACGGGUGCCGGAGCUAACGCGAUAAGUACCCCGCCUGGGGAGUACGGCCGCAAGGUUA